rnacentral:rRNA from 1 species
GACGAACGCUGGCGGCGUGCCUAAUACAUGCAAGUCGAGCGAGGCGGCGGAUGGGGGAGUAACGCGUGGUUUACCUGCUCUUCAGUCUGAGAUACCAUUUGGAAACAGAUUCUAAUACCGGAUACUAAAGGUUGGACCUGCGAUGCAUUAGCUCGUUGGUAAGGUAACGGGUUACCAAGGCGAUGAUGCAUAGCCGGUUGUCGAGACUGAUCGGCCACAUGGGAACUGAGACACGGCCCAAACGCCUACGGGAGGAAGAAGUAGGGAAUCUGGCAAAAUGGACGAAAGUGUGAUGGAGCAACGCCGCGUGAGUGAAGAAGGUUUUCGGAUCGUAAAGUUCUGUAGGUGGUGAAGCGGUAAUCAACGAGAAAGUACCGGCUAACUACGUGCCAGCAGCCGCGGUAAUUC